rnacentral:rRNA from 1 species
AUGGUCAAGGUUACUAUUACACGCAUGGGCUCUGACAACCGUUGGUGGUUUCUAUCAUGCCGGGAAUGCCAUAAAACAGCCUAUAUGGCUGGAAGGCAGUACCGUUGCUCGGACCACGGCUGCUCUUCUGUUGUAGCAGAUCCCUCAUAUUGUCUGUGCACUUUCGGAAGCGACGGCGCAGCUGAGGCAGAAUUUAUGUUCUUUGAUAGAGCUGAAAAGAGUGUUGUUGGGAAGCCACUCGUGACUUUGAUUUACCACAAGUAUCCUGGUUUCACAAGUGCGCUUGAUCUGCCUUAUAUAGGAGGUGCUGAUGUAGGCUUGCCUGUUGAAAUUUCACGCCUUGUUACCAAGAAGUAUAGGCUUGUCGUUUCUAUCUCCACCAAGAGCUUUCAGCCUGCAAGCACCCAGUUGUCCUUCCAAGUUGGCAGGAUUGAUGAAACCCUUAAGCCUGAACUGGCAUCCUUUGGAUUUGGCGGUGCGUCAUCUUCUACUGGGAGCUCAGGCAGAGUGGUUCCCAUUCCAACGUCUUUCGCUACAGGAUCAUCUACACUUGUCGAGCUACCUCCCGAUGAGAUGAACACUCCCAUAUCUGCAUUCAGAGGAAAAAGGACAGGCUGCUAUGCCUGA